AAAGAGUUAGUUAAAGUUAUAUAACAUAGAAUUGUCAAUUCUAAAUUACUUAUUUAAUCAAGUACUUUUUG
rnacentral:tRNA from 1 species